GCGGGCCGGGAGACGAGUGCGAAGCGGCGGCGGCGGCGGCGGCGGCGUCGGCGUCCAGAGCGGCUUGAACUCGGGAACCUUUCGAGCCUUGAGUCAUGCAGCCGGUCUUCCGGGACGCUGGCUGCCUCCCAGAGGAUCAAUUUUGGCAAGCCGAGGGCCGGCGCUUUUUAGACUGGGUCUUUUUGCUUUCCACAGAAAGAAAAAGAAAGUUUGCAGGGUUUCACCGGAGCAAACGCUCUGGGUGGCUUGCGAAGGCACCACGUGACACCUGGACACGCAGCUAGAGGCCUGUCCAAUGACUUGCGACUUGGGGUGUUCAAAAAAGGCUUUUGCACGAUCACAAGUAAGACCUCGUUAGCUUGAAAACGGAACAAGGCGUGUUCGGAAAAUGCAAGAUGUUUAAAGCUAAGUCUUUUAAAAAAAGCACCAAUUAGCCAAUAUGAAGCGGCGAUGCGGAAAGUUUCCCCCCUGUGGUUCUAUAGGGGAAGAGAAUCUCUUGUAGCGACUGGAAAUGUUCAGCAACUUGGCCCUGACCUGAGCUGGUUGGCUCUGGGAAGGCGGGUGGUGGCAGAGAGUGUCAGAGAGGGAGAAAAAGACCACGCUUUGAAAUUCGGGAAGCAACCCGAUGUUGCGGAGUAUAUUGGCACCCAGGAUUCUGUCGAGAGGAUGGCAUUGAUCGCGGGUGAUAAAUGUGCAGAUAUUGUUUUAUAUUAGUAUUCAGAUGUUACAAAAUCAUUUAUCUGUACAGAAGGUAAAGUGAGAAUAGGAACUGUAUCUGCCGUUUGUUGCAAACAUUUUAGGUAAAAUCUGUGACAUAGUGAAUUCCUUACUUUUGAAUGCGAGAAAUACGAUGACUUCCAGUUUCUUCGUUUUGUUUUAAAAUGUCCUCCCCUUAAAGCGCACACAACACAUGCUAAGGUUACAAGCAUUCCCGUAACAAUAUCCGGGGAUGACGCUGAAAGUAUAUGUUGGUGUCUUACACCUAGUCGGUCCUCAGAAAAUAGUGGCAUGAAUCACACAAAUACAUCAUUUAGAAGAUUUUUUUUUUUGCUAAAAAAUCUAAGGUCUCAUUCAGUUAUGUUUCAUAAAUGUUCUACUUCGAUAUCCUUCUCCCUUAAAAAAACUCAAAGCUCAUACGGACUCAUUUUUUGACACUUAACUACUGUUAUUUGGACGCUAGCGAGUAUGCGGCUCUAAAAGGUUUUAAAAAAGAACUUCGGAUUUUGACAGAAGAGCGCCCUCUGCUGCCGAAUAGUUUAUGGGCAACGCUCCUGAAAAGUGAAACACUUGGGGGUAUGCCCAUCGCAAAGCUGGCAAGGUGAACUUUAAGAGCUGCUCAUCUUGAGGAGGAAGGAGCUACAUUCAGAGGUUAGCUGCUGGUACAGCUUUGAGUCACUAGGAGGUUAAAGUCCCAAGAAUCUUAUGAAAGAAGAAAAAAAUAAGACAAGCAUUUGAAGACUUGAGAGCAGAGCCUUACUUUUUUUUUUUUUUUUUUUUUUUUUUUGCGUUACACGGGCCUCUCACUGUUGUGGCCUCUCCCGUUGCGGGGCACGGGCUCCGGACGCGCAGGCUCAGCGGCCAUGGCUCACGGGCCCAGCUGAUCCGCGGCAUGUGGGAUCCUCCCAGACCGGGGCACGAACCUGCGUCCCCGGCAUCGGCAGGCGGACUCUCAACCACUGCGCCACGAGGGAAGCCCCAGAGCCUUGCUUUUGAACAUCACACUCUAUCUCUGCCUUUGAAGAUGAACAUCCAGGCUUGCAUGAUAGACUUUGUCUCUCAAGCUUUUAACCUGCUCUUCACCUGGUUGUUUAUGCCAAAAGCUGUCUUCACAGACUCCCCUUUGUGCCCACCUUCUGUGAUGUAAAGCCUAUGAUUAAUAUUAUGUGUUACCUUGACGGCUGAUAAAUUUGGGAGGGCCUUGAGUGGCCUAAUGCAUGUCCCCCUUCCCACUGUGCUCUCAUGGAUAAGGCCCUCUAGCCAAACAACCGUCCUUAUGAAGGGGACCAGGCGCAGUUUCAGCUUAUCCUCAAGGGAUGGGUUUUAGUUUCCUGCCAGACUGUGGGAUUAUUCAAACAAACCAAUCUCAUUCUCCUGUGGGAACCAGGGGGCACCCUGACCUCUUGAUACUACAAAGCCUGCUUCCCACCCCCCUGGUUGUUCACUCGCCCCUGACUGCAAACUCCGUGUGGCCCUGUGUGGGUGCUGUGUCUUCUUCCCCUGAGCUGUGAGCUUAUGUGACUAGUACUGUUCAGCCCAUCUGUCCAGAAUUGGGUGUCAUGUGUUUGGUCGUCCCCUCAGAACCCUAGGACAGGAAUCUUUCCCUGGAUAGUAGGGUGAAUGUUGUGCUAAUUUCUGCUAUAUAGCAAAGUAACUCAAUUAUACACAUAUAUACAUUCUUUUUUUAACACUCUUUUCCAUUACGGUUUAUCCCGAGAGAUUGGAUAUAGUUCCCUGUGCUAUACAGUAGGACCUUGUUGUUUAUUCGUUCUAAAUGUAAUGGUGUGCAUCUACUAACCCCAAAUUCCCAAUCCAUCCCUCUCCCUCCCCUCUCCCCCUUGGCAACCACAAGUCUGUUCUCUAUGUCUGUGAGUCUGUUUCUGGAAAACUCUAGGAGCUUAUAGACACAGUUUCCCAGAAGAGGUCAGGAGGGGGACUAAGGAGCCAACCCCGGCUUCUCCUUCUCUGGGUCUGAGUGCUGGCCCUCCCACACACUGGGAGAAGGUAACGGAGUGUGGCAGGACAGGGUGUUCUUUCUCUGCACGCUUCUUCCUUUCAUCCUCACCCCUGAUGGGAAGGAGGCUUUUAAUCUGAUUACGUAUCUAAGUUAUGCUGUGAGAGGUGGUCCAUAUUAGGAGGAGGAAGGUUUGCCUGCCUAAUAACCUCUUUGGUCAAGGAUCCCACUGGAGAGGUUGGGAGCCAGUUAUAUCCCAAUUGGAACCAGGAGCAGUAGUUGAGUUGGCUCUGGAGAGGUGGUGGGUGGGAAGGAUGAGCCAGAGCCUUUGAGUGGGAAAAGGGAUAGAAAAUGAAGAAGUACCAGUAAAGUGCCUGUUCUGUUGGAACUCACAUAUUUCAGGAUAUAAAACAUCCUGAAUUUUUAAAUAACAAGAAUACAAUUAAAUGAGAAAAGAGAAAUAUAUGAAAUGUGACUAUACUUUAU